UGAGUAACCUGCCCUUAACUCUGGGAUGAGCCUGGGAAACUGGGUCUAAUACCGGAUAUGACUCCUCAUCGCAUGGUGGGGGGUGGAAAGCUUUUGUGGUUUUGGAUGGACUCGCGGCCUAUCAGCUUGUUGGUGAGGUAAUGGCUUACCAAGGCGACGACGGGUAGCCGGCCUGAGAGGGUGACCGGCCACACUGGGACUGAGACACGGCCCAGACUCCUACGGGAGGCAG
rnacentral:rRNA from 1 species